rnacentral:rRNA from 1 species
UACAGAGGGGGCAAGCGUUGUUCGGAAUUACUGGGCGUAAAGGGCGCGUAGGUGGCCUUCUAAGUUGAACGUGAAAUCCCUGGGCUCAACCCGGGAACUGCGUCCGAUACUGGAAGGCUUGAAUCCGGGAGAGGGAUGCGGAAUUCCAGGUGUAGCGGUGAAAUGCGUAGAUAUCUGGAGGAACACCGGUGGCGAAGGCGGCAUCCUGGACCAAUAUUGACGCUGAGGAGCGAAAGCGUGGGGAGCGAACAGG